CUUAAACUUAAACCUUGAUUUGAUAAUCUCAAUUAAUUACUUUAAUAAAAUUGGAAUGCUGAAGUCUGUCAGAAAUUUUGUGGACCCUGAUAACAUCUUUGGAAACCGAAACCUUUUAUAGAUCCCGAUGUCCAAAAAGCCACCAGUUCUGUAUGUGUGUGAUCAUGUUUUAAUACAUGGUGGAACCUCCAUACAGUUAUCCCACUUAAACAAUAUUUUUUUCAGAAC